rnacentral:rRNA from 1 species
GUCGAGCGGGGUAGAUGUAGCUUGCUACACUUACCUAGCGGCGGACGGGUGAGUAAUGCUUAGGAAUCUGCCUAUUAGUGGGGGACAACAUUCCGAAAGGAAUGCUAAUACCGCAUACGCCCUACGGGGGAAAGCAGGGGAUCUUCGGACCUUGCGCUAAUAGAUGAGCCUAAGUCAGAUUAGCUAGUUGGUGGGGUAAAGGCCUACCAAGGCGACGAUCUGUAGCGGGUCUGAGAGGAUGAUCCGCCACACUGGGACUGAGACACGGCCCAGACUCCUACGGGAGGCAGCAGUGGGGAAUAUUGGACAAUGGGCGAAAGCCUGAUCCAGCCAUGCCGCGUGUGUGAAGAAGGCCUUUUGGUUGUAAAGCACUUUAAGCGAGGAGGAGGCUACCUAGAUUAAUACUCUAGGAUAGUGGACGUUACUCGCAGAAUAAGCACCGGCUAACUCUGUGCCAGCAGCCGCGGUAAUACAGAGGGUGCGAGCGUUAAUCGGAUUUACUGGGCGUAAAGCGUGCGUAGGCGGCUUUUUAAGUCGGAUGUGAAAUCCCUGAGCUUAACUUAGGAAUUGCAUUCGAUACUGGGAAGCUAGAGUAUGGGAGAGGAUGGUAGAAUUCCAGGUGUAGCGGUGAAAUGCGUAGAGAUCUGGAGGAAUACCGAUGGCGAAGGCAGCCAUCUGGCCUAAUACUGACGCUGAGGUACGAAAGCAUGGGGAGCAAACAGGAUUAGAUACCCUGGUAGUCCAUGCCGUAAACGAUGUCUACUAGCCGUUGGGGGCCUUUGAGGCUUUAGUGGCGCAGCUAACGCGAUAAGUAGACCGCCUGGGGGAGUACGGUCGCAAGACUAAAACUCAAAUGAAUUGACGGGGGCCCGCACAAGCGGUGGAGCAUGUGGUUUAAUUCGAUGCAACGCGAAGAACCUUACCUGGUCUUGACAUAGUAAGAACUUUCCAAAAAUGGAUUGGUGCCUUCGGGAACUUACAUACAGGUGCUGCAUGGCUG